AUUGAACGCUGGCGGCAUGCUUUACACAUGCAAGUCGAACGGCAGCGCGGGGCAACCCUGGCGGCGAGUGGCGAACGGGUGAGUAAUGUAUCGGAACGUAUCCUGUAAUGGGGGAUAACCAGUCGAAAGAUUGGGUAAUACCGCAUACGCACGAGAGUGGAAAGUAGGGGAUCGCAAGACCUUACGUUAUAGGAGCGGCCGAUAUCUGAUUAGCUAGUUGGUGGGGUAAAGGCCUACCAAGGCGACGAUCAGUAGCUGGUCUGAGAGGAUGAUCAGCCACACUGGGACUGAGACACGGCCCAGACUCCUACGGGAGGCAGCAGUGGGGAAUUUUGGACAAUGGGCGAAAGCCUGAUCCAGCCAUGCCGCGUGCGGGAAGAAGGCCUUCGGGUUGUAA
rnacentral:rRNA from 1 species